GUUGAUAUUAUGCAUGAGGAAUACAUUUUGUGUGGAGGAUCCUGUAUAAAAGUACCUCAGUUACCAGUUUCAUUUUGAGGAGCACGGAUUCAGCUGAUGCAGAUUCUGACAACAGCCAAUGCUUCACACGGAGGUCGGAUCUCAUCAUCCCAUCA